GAUUGUGUGAGGAGAGCAACGAAUGCAAACUAGUGCUCUGGGUUUUUGGGCUAUUUAGCAAGGAUGUUUUUUGGAUUGCAUGUGUGAGGUGGAUCGGGUUUGAUCACGUUUUGGACACGUGCAAGGACUGGAGCCAUUUAGAUGGUCAGAAACUUCUCUGAAGCUGACUCCAAAGGCUCCAAAGCCCCUGAUAAACCUUCCAGAAC